GGAGGGAUCGCAUAGUCCGGCCUAGUGCGCACGCCUGGAAAGCGUGUAGGCGGUGCAAGCCGCCUCGUGGGUUCGAAUCCCACUCCCUCCGCCA
rnacentral:tRNA from 1 species